rfam:Triticum aestivum genome assembly, contig: Triticum_aestivum_CS42_TGACv1_scaffold_055619_1BS
UGAUGUGAUCAUACCAGCACUAAACCAACGGAUCCCAUCAAACUCCAAAGUUAAGCGUGCUUGGGUGAGAGUAGUACUAGGAUGGGUGACCUCCUGGGAAGUCCUCGUGUUGCAUUCC